AGUUUUACUAACAGCAUGAAAUGGAAAUUCUAUAACUUAUCCUAAAAGAUGACAUAGAUUGCUUUUUAUUUUCCUUUGUAGCGAACAUGAGGAAGGUGAAAGCAUUUAUGGCCAUGUUUCCUUCAGCUCCACAUGGGUUAUAAAGAGCCUGACCCUCCCCCCUGUGCUGAUGGGCCCUUGCCUGGCCUUGGCCUGGCCUAAUCGCCACAGGACUGCCUGGCAACCAGGGGACCAGACCCUGACCUAUAGACCCGCUGUUUCACCAUGAACCUACCUGACUAUCUGGAUUCUUGGUUGAACCUGGCCAUAAUCUCUGGGUCUUUGCUGCUCACCUCAAGGAGUUACUAUGGGAUGGACUGACAGGCAACCCCCUGCCUACAGCUGUGUUAUCCCCAAUGAGCUCCCAGACCCCUAGGGAGCAGCAUUUCACGUUAAGAUAAAGUAAGGACUCAAACAGGAUCAGGCCAGCUGCAGGGAUAAUGCACUACACUCAGAUUAAAACUACGUGGUAUGUUACUCUGCAGCGAUCUCCUCCA